GACGGACGGACUGACGGACGGACGGACGGGUCAAAAACAUUAUACCCUCCGCAACUUCGUUGCAUGGGGUAUAAAUAUAAGCUCUUUCAACCUUGUUUUAAGGAAGUAGUCGGGUAUGUGGCUUCAGAAUAUCAAUCAUUUUAGGUCUUUUCUAGACAUUAAAAGAGGGAGCAGAGGCGGAUUAUGGGGGGGGGGGGCGGUCAGGGUGCCCAGGCCCCCCUUAUUUGGAAAAAUAUUGGUUGCUAAUAUAGGGAAUAACUGAAGCGUGACUGGAGCGGGCCCCCUCUUAGGUCAGUCAGUGGGCUCCCACUUAUGAAAAUUUCUGGAUCCACCACUUGGGAAAAUUCAAAGGCACCAUUUAUUGAUGAUAAAGGUGUCCAAAAUAUCUUCACACAAUGAUACAUUAAACUUCUAAUCAAAAUUGUGUAAUUUGGUGAGGUCAUGAUGUAUUUGAUAAAGCAAUCCUUUCUUUUCCAUUUCUAGCUCCCACUUAAAUUUGAUUUUUGAAUAGCCUUCGAUC
rnacentral:lncRNA from 1 species